UACGUAGGGGGCAAGCGUUUGUCCGGAAUUAUUGGGCGUAAAGCGUGUCUCGGCGGAUUGGCAAGUCAGAUGUUAAAAUUCCAGGCUCAACUUGGAUCAUGCAUUUGAUACUGCCAGUCUUGAGUGAGGGAGGGAUGAGCGGAAUUCCUGGUGUAGCAGUGAAAUGCGUAGAUAUCAGGAGGAACACCGGUGGCGAAAGCGGCUCAUUGGCCCUUUACUGACGCUCGAAGCACGAAAGCGUGGGUAGCAAACAGG
rnacentral:rRNA from 1 species